GCGGCGCAGGGAGCAGAGCAGGCGGCUGAAGCCGGGCGCAGGGCCGGGCCCUCCGGGAGGCGCAGGAAUGUGUGUGCAUUGCGGAAUCCUUGGAAAACCCAGAGGAACAGAGGGAAGAAAAUGAAAAUCACCUGUGAGAGUCAGGUCCGUCACAGGUGUCAUCUAUUGCUACAGUAGCAGCCGAAGAGUCUGCACCUGAGGAGAGCCUUGAGCACACUGAGGUCACUUUCCUUACCUGGCCAGCCUGCCGGCGCUGACUUUGUGUCUGCCCUCUUCAAGUGCUCACCUGAGAGGAGGAUGGAGGCCCCUGGAGGCACCAAGGUGGGCCAGAGAGGGAAGGCUGGGAGGCAAGGUGUGGUGUUACUGGAACCAGACACCAGACUGGUAAACAGCUCCAAAAGCCCUAGCCUCACGAGGGCCCAGACAAUCCUGCUGUAUAGUUCAGCAGUCAAAGUCACCAGGGAGCUUUGGGAGGGACUCAGGGGCAGGAGACAGCUUCAGAGGGACAGGGCCAGGUCCUGCGUGGGUCACCCAGGGCUGCCAUCUGCUCUUCUGAGGACCCUGGCCAGACUGGACCGU